rnacentral:lncRNA from 1 species
AUGAAGUCUACAGCAUUAGCAAUGCAGGAGGAAUUAGCUAUUUUUUUCAAACAAAGAAAGGAAGCAUUCAACAGUAAAGUUAAAAUUACUCCUUAAUUGUAUAGCACAGACAAAGAGACAGUGGAAUACGAACGCUCACGAGCUAAUGCCUGGAUACCUCUGAAAUGAGUAAGCUCGAAAUGCCUCUGUACUUAGGAAAAGAGCAUCAUGGAGGCAGAAAGUGGUACAUGUGGAAGGAUCACUUGCAAUCUUUUAAUCAGUCAAUUGAUUUUCUGUUUGAUCCUGUAAAAUAACGCGCUCUCCUCCUACUUCACCCCCAAAUAUAUGCGGUUUACAUUUGUUACGUUUGAUGAGCUGAGAGGAAUUGAAAUCAUCUCAGUUCUGUGUGAAUGAGGAGUGGGAAAAUCUGCGUUGGACCUUCUGCACAGGAGUCCCUCAUCUCCUGUCCCAGGCCACUUGUACAACACCAAAAAGGAAGGCAUACCUCAGGGAUACUGAAGACUUCCCGUCUUGAGCUACUGUGCAAAUGGAAUAUUUACUUACAGAGAGGAACUGCCUCAAUAAGCAAUGUCAAGAGUGACCUAACCCCCAACAGCUCUAGCAGAGAAAGUGUUUCUGUGGGAGCUGUGUGGAUGACAGCGCCCUGAGCUGAAUGCACACGAAGCAACGUCAUGGUGUCUUUGCAGGGUAGGUGCUUUCCACUUCCUGCUCAGCAAGUUUCAGCGGACAAACUGUGCGUAAGCCCCAGCGAGUCCCUAGGGACCAUGGCCCUGCCCUGAUGCUGAUUGCCCAACUGCAGGGCAGCUGUGGCUGGCCCCCGGGGCCCCAGGGGAGCUGCUGGUGGUGCUUGCCCUCCGCACCUGCCUGCCUGGUGCCCCGUUGCUGCCGGGGUGCUCCCCGCUCCCCAUCCUCCUGGUGCCCAAGAGGGCUGGUCUUGCCUGCCGUGCCACCGCUGCCGGGACAGGGUGAACACUGCAGCAGCGAGCGUAUUAAAUGCUGCAGAUUUGGGUAAGGAGCUUUCCUGACACAGGGAGCUAGCAGCAACGUAGCUCAAAACCUGACCCGUUCCCCUUCUUUUGGCUUGUUGUCUUAAAUAUUUGCUGAUACUUUGCAGUUUUAAAACCUUAGUUUUUCAAACAG